GACGAACGCUGGCGGCGUGCUUAACACAUGCAAGUCGAACGAGUGGCGGACGGGUGAGUAAUGCUUGGGAAUCUAGCUUAUGGAGGGGGAUAACUACGGGAAACUGUAGCUAAUACCGCGUACCAUAGGAUGAGCCCAAGUGGGAUUAGGUAGUGGGUGGGGUAAAGGCUCACCAAGCCGACGAUCUCUAGCUGGUCUGAGAGGAUGACCAGCCACACUGGGACGGAGACACGGCCCAGACUCCUACGGGAGGCAGCAGUGGGGAAUAUUGCGCAAUGGGGGCAACCUGACGCAGCCAUGCCGCGUGAAUGAAGAAGGACUUCGGGUUGUAAAGUUCUUUCGGUAGCGAGGCGUUAACUACAGAAUAAGCACCGGCUAACUCCGUGCCAGCCGCCGCGGUAAUUC
rnacentral:rRNA from 1 species